AUGGGUGGAAUGGCAGAGAUUAGUAACGAUAGUAUUGUAGUGGAAGUUGGAGCAGUACUUGAUAUUAGCAACGGAACAGUUGGGAGGAUAGGAUUGAGCUGCAUCAACAUGGCCCUAUCAGAUUUCUAUUUAUCUCAUUCUCACUACAAAACUAGAAUCCAAAUCACCGUCAGGGAUUCUCAUAGAGACGUCGUCAAUGCAGCUGCACAUGCGUUGGAGGCUCUUGGAAGGUUAUCUUGGUUGUGGAGAGAUAUCCUUGCAUAA
rnacentral:lncRNA from 1 species